rnacentral:lncRNA from 1 species
CUUUUUUUUUUCUUUUUAAUUUUAUUUUGUUUGAAGCAUGUUCAUGAUUAAAUCUGUAUGCUGGUUUAUUUGAGUCACUGCUCUCUGAUUGUGGUUUCCUCAAUCCUAAUUCUUCCUCUUUUUUUCUUUUGUUUUCCUCCAUUUCUUUCCUUCCUUUCUUUUUGGUUUUGAGAAGCCCUUUCAGUAUUUCUUUUAACCUGGGUUUUGUGUUGCUGUAUUCUUUUAGCUUUUGUUUGUUGGAAAAAAAAUUUAUUUCCCCUUCUAUUUUAAAUGAUAAUCUUGCUGGAUAGAGUGUUCUCGGUUGCAUAUUUUUUUCCUUUUAGCACUUUAAAUAUCUCUUGCCAUUCCCUCCUGGCCUGUAUAGUUUCGGUAGAGAAAUCAGCUGAUAACCUUAUGGGGGUUCCCUUGUAGGUAACAUUCUUCUUUUCUCUUGCUGCCUUUAGGAUCCUCUCUUUAUCAGUAACUUUUGCCAUUUUUAUGAUAAUGUGUCUUGGUGUGGGUCUAUUUGGGUUCAGUUUGUUUGGGGCCCUCUGUGCUUCUUGUAUCUUGAACCUGGUAUCCUUUAGAUUUGGGAAGUUUCCAGCAAUAAUUUCUUCAAAUAUAUUUUCCAUUCCCUUAUCUUUUCUACUCCUGGAAUUCCUAUUAUGCAUAGAUUGGCCCGCUGUAUAUUAUCCCAUAGGUCUCUUAUAUUGUUUUCAUGUUUUUUCAUUUGGUUUUCUGUCUGCUGACCUGAUUGGGUGAUUUCCAUUAUUCUAUCUUCCACAUCACUGAUUCGUUCUUCUGCAUUAUUCAUUCUGGUUUUUACUGCCCCUAGUUCAGUUUGCAUCUCUGCAAAUGAAUUUUCUAGUUUUUCUUGGCUCCUCCUUAUAUUUUCUAGUUCCUUUCUGAGGGUGUCUGCAUUACUGUUCAUAUCUUCUCUUAAUUCCUUCAGUAUUUUCACUAUUUCUCUUUUGAACUCAAGUUCUGCCAGACUGCAGAGAUCUGUUUCAUUGUUGACUGCUUCAGGUGAGUUCUCCUGUUGGUUUGACUGCGGGUGGUUUCUCAGCUUCUUCAUCUUGCUUGUUUUCUUUUUCUUGGUGGAGUUGUACUCUCCGUUAUCGGGCAGUGUUUGCCUUGUCACUGCCAUGGAAUGUUUCUUUAGGGCUGGUGUUGGUCGGUCUUUUUUGAGGCAGCAUGGCUUUUCUGUAGGGUGGGUGGGGCUGACAGGGUCUCUCUGAAGCAAAGGAGGACUUCCCAAGGGCAGGCAGGACUGGGAGAUCCACACCACGGUGGGAGCAGAUUUCACUUGGCCAGGCAGAGCUUGCUCUGGUGUUUUUGGGCUGUGGGGCUCUUGCAGGGGGCUGGUGGUGCUGGGCAGCUGUUCCACAGGAGUGCAGCAUCCCCCAAGGGCUGGAGCAGCUAUCUGGGUCACUGAGAACCCAAGAGGCUCUUCCCCAGGGCAGCCUGACUCAGAAGGAGUGUCUGAGAAUGUAGGCAGAUCUUUUCAUGGCCCGGCCAAACUUUUCUAGCUUUUCUGAGCUUCAGGCCUUUUCCUGUGGGCUGGUGGUGUAUGGUGCUGCUCUGCAGGCGUCUAGGCCCUCCAAAGGGCAAGCAGGCCAGGGCAGGGACAGCCCCUGCAGUGGUAGGCUUCUGGAAAUUGUUGAGGCCAGCCCUCCCAGAUGGCAGGCAGCCCCAGGUCUGGCGUGUGCAUAAGGGGUGGCUGGGGGAGAUGCACUGGGAAACACAGCUUUCUGAUAGCUUGCAGGCCAAUAAGCUUGGUCUGGCAUUGGGAGUAUUCCAUGCGGGCCCGCCCCUUCUUCUCUCCCCUCCCCAACACUGGUGCAGACCCAGAUCUUCUCCCAGAUUCCCUCUGAUGUGACUUUCCACUUCCCCGCCCUUAGCAUAUUGCUCCCUCCCCCUGCAACACUCUGCUUUCUAGUCUCCCAGGCAGUCUCUGUCCCAUCAAACUUGACAGACCAGUUCCUUGACCCCUCAAGCCAUCUCUGCUCCACCCACCCCAGCCCUUUCCCAGGGACUAACCUCCAGAGCCGAGUCUUGGUGUCCAGCCCCCACCCAAGUGUCUCAGUUUUUGGUGACUGUGCCAGUAGUUCAGAAGAUCUGUUCAGUUCUCUCUCUGCUUUUCAGAACUCUGACUUACUGCUGCGCUCUUCUCAUAUCUGGAGAUUCCUCCAGUUUGGUUGAUCUGUCCAUUGAGUAGGUGGCUUUCCAGGGUGUGGGAUCCCUUUCUCCUCCACAGUUCCCUUUCAGGAGUGCCUUUCCAGCUCAGAUUCACCUUUUCUCACUCUCCACUUUUCUCUUGUUUUAUCUAGUAAUGUCACAAGAUUCUUGCCAUUAUUGGAGUUUAGGUUCUUCUGCCAGUGAUUGGUUGCUGUUCUUUGUGAGUCAUUUAUCCUGUAGAUGUGUUUUUUGUGUGUGUGUUUGUGGGAGAGGGUGAGCGUGUUCCCCUACUCUUCCACUAUCUUGCCUCCGCUCCCACUCAUACUACUCUUAAUUCAGUAUAACUUUUGCCCUAAUCACUUCCCUAAUGUUUUCUUCAUGUCUUGCUUUUAAGAUAAAUUGAAUUAAUUUUGUUCUUCACACACUUUAACCCUUGCAUUUUAUUUUACAAAUCUAACUACACAUCUUUAUGAAACCC